UUCUUGAAAUAAAGAGCUUCUUGUAAUUGUAUUGCAGUCUGUUUUGAGCUGAUGAUCCAAUUUGAGUUACCUUGGGUUGGGAGCUUUGGCUUGUGUCUCAGCAAAGGCCAUUCUCUGUGCUGCUGAUACCAACAGGCUUCCUGAUGAGGACUGCUGAAAGGGCUCUCAGGAGGAAACCUUAAGGAAAUUUUACAUUAAAUUGGCAGUGGAAAUUUUCUCUUUCAGGGCAGAUCUCACACUUAAGCCCAACUUCUGCCGGUACCAGAGGAAGUUCAACCUUAAAGGAAGCUUCAGUUCCAGUCACUAACUGCAGUAGGAGCAGUGUCAGUUUGUGACUUCCAACCUCUGUUUGUUAAUCCUUUCGUCAGCUUGAGCCACGUUGAGAGACUGAAGCAGAAAAUGAGGAUCAGCUUUCUUUACCAGUGGCCUCUUGUGUUUGGACCCACGGUGUUCCAUGCUAUGAGAACAAAGCUGUCUCAUCUAUUUGCCCCUUGUGUUGACCAUCCUGCACGUAGGUCUCACUCCUGCAGCCAGCACCACAGAGUGCAGCUACUCAGCCACAACUGGAUGCUCCAAGAAUGGACUUCAAAUCCUACUUUUUCCAGGAGCUGAAUUAAUUCACAUUCUUGCUCUGCCACUGAGCUCAACUUGAUACCAUGUUUGUCAUCAGACUUGCCUUAUUAAGAUAGGAUUACAAGUAGCAGUGGCUUACUGUCAAUCAAGCAGUGGUCAGUUGUCCAGCUACCUGAAUCCCAUAACCCUCAAGCUCCAAGUCUCUUUCGUAUACGUUUGUUUUGUUCCUUACAUCUUUUUGCAUAUCAAUGGCUAUUUUCUUUCAUCACGGCGCUUUCUAAAUGGUUAAAUACUUAACUCAAAGCCUAAGGAUGCACACGAGAUCCAUGCCUUAUCAGUGGUGGGUACGCAGAGCAUACUGAGUACCCACCAUUAAUACUGGUAGCUGGACUGGUAGUAAUAGCUGGACAUAUCCCUCUCUACAGCUGUGAUACCACAGGUACCUUUCAAAGACCAAAUUAGUCCCUGGAAGGACUAUAGACAUCCUGCUUAUUUGUGUGGUACCUGAGCCCUUGUUAGUCUCGCUUCUUUCUCGCUCCUUUCUUUACUUUAGUUGCACAGCUGUAACAAUUAGACUUGCUGCUUUCCAGGCCCUUUUUUGCAUUGCAUUAACCUAUUACUCCCUGCAGAGCCUGCACCUCUAGCAUUUGCAAUACAAAUACUCCUGACAUGCAGCCUGCAGCCCUGAGUGCCUCUGAGAUCUGCCUCAUAACCAAAGAAAGCCUGCCUCAAGGUCACCCAAAGCAGCAGACACACAGUCUUGUCUCGUAUCUCUCAUAGCUUUUAGGUGUCCCCUUCAUAUUUUCUUCUUUGUCCACCAAUUUUGGUUAGAACUUCGGAGUGUUGAGGUAAGAUGAGAGGUCUGUUAUACAGCAGGUGCUCAUUUAGAAAGGGAGUCGCUUCCUUUGUGUACAGACUGGUUGGCAUUCACUCUCAUUCUUUUUUCUCCUGCGCUGAAUACCUGUUUCUAAUCAGUCUGCAAUGUUUACUAGGGACAUCCACAGCAGAGUGAAGUUUGCUAAGUUUUCUGCAGUGGCUGUCAACUAAAGCAAAAUAAAAAAGGAAAGAUAUGAAAGGUUAAAUGUAUUGAAGAAGGCAGUUUAAUUACUAACAGGAUAGAGGGAUAGAGAGUCCAAACAGAUAAAUCUAUAUAACUGGAAUAAUGAUAACCAGUAGCAUCCCAGGAAAGUAUAGAAGAGAGAUAAGCCCAUCACUGAAAGAGGUUUAAGAUAACUCACUGUUAUGAGUAUACUCAUACAUUAUGAGUAUAAUGUAACCCAUCUACUGUGGGCUAUACCUGUGCACGGGGCAGUUGCCAUGGCUUGACUCAUGUGCAGUAACUUCUACUCCUCUUCCUCAAUUGCAUGGGUAAGUCCUAAGGUUCAUAAAUAGACGUGUAAUAGACAAAUUGGGUUGGCAGAGCUCCAUAAAAACAUGCAGAACAUUAAAACUGGGAAGAGAAAACAGAAUCUGAUUCAGAAACAGAAAGAAAACCACUUUCUUCUAUCUUUGGAAGGUUCAGUUUUAAUUUAUGCAACACCUUGCAGGAACAAUAAGAGUGGAAGCUGAUGACAUAAAAGUAUAGUAGUUAAAAUAAUGCAAAACUAAAUAUAAAUCUCAGUUGUGUGGUGAACUGAGUGAAAAUCAGAAUGAAAAAAUUGGAUUUUUUGUGAGAAUCAAGAAUAAUAUCAUACUUUGGCAACCGGGAAUGACAUCCACAUUCAGUGCCAAAGCCAAGGCAACAAGACUUUCCUCACAGCCCUUACCACACAGGUGCUUCAUACAGUUCACAACUGAGAUGUUCUUUGAGUGAAAGAGCGAGCAAGUGCUGUUUAAGGCACUCAUCUGUGACUUCCAGUCCCAGAUCCAAUGACUGGAGUGAAAUAAAGUGGAGACUUUGAAGAGUAGAAAUUCACUUUCUGCAAUUAAUGAGCAGGGUACUCUCCUAAAAUAUCAGACUUAAAUACUCCAAAUUAAGCAAGGAGAGGAACGGAACUCUGUAGGCUUCCAGUCUCAAGUUGCACCAGGGGAGGCUUACAUUGGACAUCAGGAAGAGUUUCUUCAUGGAAGGAGUGGUCAGACAUUGCAAUGGGCUUCUCAAGGAAGUGUUGGAAAUCUGGAGGUAUUUAAGAACUGUGUGGAUGUGGCCCUAAGGGACAUGGUUUAGUGACAGUACUUGGCAGGUUCAGACUGACGGUUGGACUGAGAGGUCUUGAAUGUCUUUUCCAACCUAAAUGAUUCUAUGACUCAGUGAUUCUAGGUCAUUUAUUAGCAGCACAGAGCUACAUGGGCAGCAGACUUCCAUGGCCCUGCUUCCAAUUUUUCAAAGCCAGAGACUGAAAACCAUAUCAUGGCUGUUGGCUAGGACAGAAAAUGAGCCAUUUCAGAAUGCUGUACUCACCAA